UACGUAGGGACCAAGCGUUGUCCGGAAUCAUUGGGCGUAAAGAGCGUGUAGGCGGCUUGUUAAGUCUUGCGUGAAAUCUCGGGGCUCAACCCCGAGCGGUCGUGAGAAACUGGCAGGCUAGAGUGCGGGAGAGGAGAGUGGAAUUCCUGGUGUAGCGGUGAAAUGCGCAGAUAUCAGGAGGAACACCGGUGGCGAAGGCGGGUCUCUGGGCCGAUACUGACGCUGAGGAGCGAAAGCGUGGGGAGCAAACAGG
rnacentral:rRNA from 1 species